UACGUAGGGUGCGAGCGUUGUCCGGAAUUAUUGGGCGUAAAGAGCUUGUAGGCGGUUUGUCGCGUCGGGAGUGAAAACCAGGUGCUUAACACCUGGCUUGCUUUCGAUACGGGCAGACUAGAGGUAUUCAGGGGAGAACGGAAUUCCUGGUGUAGCGGUGAAAUGCGCAGAUAUCAGGAGGAACACCGGUGGCGAAGGCGGUUCUCUGGGAAUGACCUGACGCUGAGGAGCGAAAGUGUGGGGAGCGAACAGG
rnacentral:rRNA from 1 species